rnacentral:rRNA from 1 species
UACGGGGGGGGCAAGCGUUGUUCGGAAUUACUGGGCGUAAAGGGCUCGUAGGCGGCCAACUAAGUCAGACGUGAAAUCCCUCGGCUUAACCGGGGAACUGCGUCUGAUACUGGUUGGCUUGGGUGUGGGAGAGGGAUGCGGAAUUCCAGGUGUAGCGGUGAAAUGCGUAGAUAUCUGGAGGAACACCGGUGGCGAAGGCGGCAUCCUGGACCAUUACUGACGCUGAGGAGCGAAAGCCAGGGGAGCAAACGGG